UUAACAAUACUAUAGAGCCCUCACUUUGUAGUCUUAUGACUAGGAAUAGUUUAAAAAUGAAGCAUAAGUCAUUCAGUCUCAUUAGUAUGAUCUCAUCAUAACCCGAUUGACGUCACUACACUUUUUGGAUUUCAUCUAAAUAGGAAAACAUAAAGAUGAACAUAUUACCAAGUAUUAAAAGAAAAAUACUUUUAUUAAUCAAAAUAUGUUCGAGAUUAAUAAGAGAAUGAGCUAACUCACAACUCUUAUAAUUGGCUCCCAGGUUACAACUCCAUCACUAACCCCCCCUAAGGGAUAUACUGCUACAUCCGUUCCCAAGAAGAAAUUGGACGUGUCAUCGAUCACAUACUCCAUCUAUUACCAAGUGAUCUCUAUUUGAUAAAGGACGAAACCCAAUGGUUGGAGGGGUAGCACAUUGACAGUUAUGUGUUGCCUCAAAUGGAAAAGAGGCGUAUAUUCAAAGCUUCUGGAGUCAGAAAUACCAAGGCACCAAGAGGAGUUUCGCACUUGCUAAGGCAAUUGUCCCCGAAGAUUGGGAAGGUUUUGUCUCAGGAACAAUUGACGAUGAUAUCCCUUGAUGGACAGUUGACUAUGUAAGUGUUACUUCAUUUUAUUGAUGGAUUUAGUCUCGUACGACUAACG